AAGUAAAUAAAUUGAUAAACACAUGAAACUUGUUUGUUUUUCAGGAAACAUUCCAUCAGGUGAUGGGACAGAAAUUGGUCAAGGGUUUUCUACGCAGAUUCAUGGCGGACUCGAUCAAUUGCUGAGGUCUAUAUUUCCUGCAGAGCAUAUACAUGUUGGUGACGUUAACUUCCGUGGAAUGGGUGCAAGUUCUGCUGUAGUUCAUGCAGGAACAACUCAGAGUGCUGCCACUACUCAAGUGGGUCAAGUAUUCCAUCAUCUGAGGGAGCAGGUGAUAUUGAGGAUAGAACUACACAAGCAUCCUCAACACAAGUGAGGCUGAGGACAACUCAAACAGAGGGGCCUCGUCAAGUAGUCGACAUGGCAAUCCACCAUCCUCUCCAAGCUCCAAACGUCAAAGGGUAAUUGCUUCUUUCUUUUAGUAUGUCACACUGCACACACAUAUUCAAUUAGAGGUCCUGUGGUUUUCCCUCGAUUCUCGCAGAACUGCGGACAUUUGUUUGGUGCUUGCUUGUUUUUUUUCCCAUUUCAAAGUCUUCCAUGUUAUCUGGAAAAGUUUGUCUUAUCAUCCUUGCUCUCACAAAAAUUUCUCUGCUAAUAACCACCCAUUCUAGAAUUAUUUAAUAGCUAUCUGCAACCCCCCUCUAAUUAUAUGAUUGAGCAUAUGCAUUUACGUAUAUGGAUUGCCUAAAAAUUUUCUUAGAAAACGAAAUCCCGGCCUUGCCUGAGUGAAGUUAUUUUAUGGGCA